rnacentral:rRNA from 1 species
GUGAGGAAUAUUGGACAAUGGGGGGAACCCUGAUCCAGCCAUGCCGCGUGUGUGAAGAAGGCCUUUUGGUUGUAAAGCACUUUAAGCGAGGAGGAGGCUACCGAGAUUAAUACUCUUGGAUAGUGGACGUUACUCGCAGAAUAAGCACCGGCUAACUCUGUGCCAGCAGCCGCGGUAAUACAGAGGGUGCAAGCGUUAAUCGGAUUUACUGGGCGUAAAGCGCGCGUAGGUGGCCAAUUAAGUCAAAUGUGAAAUCCCCGAGCUUAACUUGGGAAUUGCAUUCGAUACUGGUUGGCUAGAGUAUGGGAGAGGAUGGUAGAAUUCCAGGUGUAGCGGUGAAAUGCGUAGAGAUCUGGAGGAAUACCGAUGGCGAAGGCAGCCAUCUGGCCUAAUACUGACACUGAGGUGCGAAAGCAUGGGGAGCAAACAGGAUUAGAAACCCCAGUAGUCC